rnacentral:rRNA from 1 species
GACGAACGCUGGCGGCGUGCUUAACACAUGCAAGUCGAACGGAAAGGCCCUGCUUUUGUGGGGUGCUCGAGUGGCGAACGGGUGAGUAACACGUGAGUAACCUGCCCUUGACUUUGGGAUAACUUCAGGAAACUGGGGCUAAUACCGGAUAGGAGCUCCUGCUGCAUGGUGGGGGUUGGAAAGUUUCGGCGGUUGGGGAUGGACUCGCGGCUUAUCAGCUUGUUGGUUGGGUAGUGGCUUACCAAGGCUUUGACGGGUAGCCGGCCUGAGAGGGUGACCGGCCACCUUGGGACUAAGAUACGGACCAGACUCCUACGGGAGGCAGCAGUGGGGAAUAUUGCACAAUGGGCGGAAGCCUGAUGCAGCAACGCCGCGUGCGGGAUGACGGCCUUCGGGUUGUAAACCGCUUUCGCCUGUGACGAAGCGUGAGUGACGGUAAUGGGUAAAGAAGCACCGGCUAACUACGUG